UUUUGGACAAUGGGCGCAAGCCUGAUCCAGCCAUUCCGCGUGAGUGAAGAAGGCCUUCGGGUUGUAAAGCUCUUUCGCCAGGGAAGAAAACUUACUUUCUAAUAAAGAGUGAGGUUGACGGUACCUUGAUAAGAAGCACCGGCUAACUACGUGCCAGCAGCCGCGGUAAUACGUAGGGUGCGAGCGUUAAUCGGAAUUACUGGGCGUAAAGCGUGCGCAGGCGGCUUUGUAAGUCAGAUGUGAAAUCCCCGAGCUCAACUUGGGAACUGCGUUUGAAACUACAAGGCUAGAAUAUGUCAGAGGGGGGUAGAAUUCCACGUGUAGCAGUGAAAUGCGUAGAGAUGUGGAGGAAUACCAAUGGCGAAGGCAGCCCCCUGGGAGUAAUAUUGACGCUCAUGCACGAAG
rnacentral:rRNA from 1 species